GACGAACGCUGGCGGCGUGCUUAACACAUGCAAGUCGAACGGAAAGGCCCUGCUUUUGUGGGGUGCUCGGGUGGCGAACGGGGGAGUAACCCGUGAGUAACCUGCCAUUGACUUUGGGAUGACUUCAGACAACUGGGGCUAAUACCGGAUAGGAGCUCCUGCUGCAUGGUGGGGGUUGGAAAGUUUCGGCGGUUGGGGUUGGACUCGCGGCUUAUCAGCUUGUUGGUGGGGUAGUGGCUUAACAAGGCUUUGCCGGGUAGCCGGCCUGACAGGGUGACCGGCCACAUUGGGACUGAGAUACGGCCCAGACUCCUACGGGAGGCAGCAGUGGGGAAUAUUGCACAAUGGGCUGAAGCCUGAUGCAGCAAAGCCGCGUGCGGGAUGACGGCCUUCGGUUUGUAAACCGCUUUCGUUUGUGACGAAGCGUGAGUGACGGUAACGGGUAAAGAAGCCCCGGCUAACUACGUG
rnacentral:rRNA from 1 species